AUUUAGUGAUAGCUGGCUUCUGAGUGAUAUUUACCUAAGCUCUCCUUUUUUAUUGGUAUUUUCCAGACUGCAAACAUAACAGAAAGUUCUGUCCAUGUGACUCCAAGAUAUUGCAGGUGACUGUCAGCUUGAUGCAGAAAUUCACUUUGUCUCACUGCAUCACAGUUUAUGAAGUACAAUGCAAAUUCUUUGGUCUUUAGGGCAUGUCAUUUCCAUGUUCAGUUUUUGAAAUUAAUUUACACCAUUGCAAGACAAAGAAAGUGGAAAUUUUCCUGCUGUCAUACCCACCUCUGUUACCAGCCUUCCCUUUCGUUUCAGCAGUGUCUAGCAGGGAGCCCUUAUCUGCAUAUGAUGUUCACAAAGGGCCUGCUGGAACAUCCAAGUCCAGUCUGCACUUGUGAAGCACCUGCUCUGCAGACUGUCAGGUGCAUUACAGCUUGUAUGGCUCUAUGGUUCUUCUGUAGACAAUUGCCAUCUGCGCUUAGAGGCAUUAUUAUCUUUACAACAGAAGCCAAGUGACAAAUGUAUCCGGUGCACCAACCACUAUUGUGGAGGAAUGAAGAGGGGAGAAGGAAGGUCUGUUUUACACUGGUUUGAAGUCUAUUUAAUUUUGCCAGUGCAAGCGAAGUCUUGGAACUCUGCAGAAGUUUCUGUUGAGUAUAUCUGUUUAAAUUGCUUAUAAUGAAGCACCAUGAGCUUUUAAAAUAAGAGCUAAACAGAAGCUAACUAUAAAAUGAAUAGUAACUUUAAUGAAUUUUGCUUAUUUCUCUUUCCUUAUGAAUUGCUCAGAAACAGAUUGAAUUUCUUUGUUUCAAAAUAAAGCUAUUUGAAUUACUCUUGAUCUGUUUAAA
rnacentral:lncRNA from 1 species